rnacentral:rRNA from 1 species
AGAGUUUGAUCAUGGCUCAGAACGUACGCUGGCGGCACGCCUAACACAUGCAAGUCGAACGAAGUAGCAAUACUUAGUGGCAGACGGGUGAGUAACAUGUGGGUAUCUGCCCUUUGGCCUGGAAUAACACGAGGAAACUUGUGCUAAUACCGGAUAAGUCUUUACGGAGAAAGCUUUAUGCACCAUUGGAUGAGCCCGCACUUGAUUAGUUAGUUGGUAGGGUAAUGGCCUACCAAGACUGUGAUCAAUAGCUGAUUUGAGAGGAUGAUCAGCCACAUUGGGACUGAGACACGGCCCAAACUCCUACGGGAGGCAGCAGUGGGGAAUCUUGCACAAUGGGCGAAAGCCUGAUGCAGCGAUGCCGCGUGAGUGAAGAAGGCCCUUGGGUUGUAAAACUCUUUCGUCGGGGAAGAAAAUGACUGUACCCGAAUAAGAAGGUCCGGCUAACUUCGUGCCAGCAGCCGCGGUAAUACGAAGGGACCUAGCGUAGUUCGGAAUUACUGGGCUUAAAGAGUUCGUAGGUGGUUGAAAAAGUUAGUGGUGAAAUCCCAGAGCUUAACUCUGGAACUGCCAUUAAAACUUUUCAGCUAGAGUAUGAUAGAGGAAAGCAGAAUUUCUAGUGUAGAGGUGAAAUUCGUAGAUAUUAGAAAGAAUACCAAUUGCGAAGGCAGCUUUCUGGAUCAUUACUGACACUGAGGAACGAAAGCAUGGGUAGCGAAGAGGAUUAGAUACCCUCGUAGUCCAUGCCGUAAACGAUGUGUGUUAGACGUUGGAAAUUUAUUUUCAGUGUCGCAGCGAAAGCGAUAAACACACCGCCUGGGGAGUACGACCGCAAGGUUAAAACUCAAAUGAAUUGACGGGGACCCGCACAAGCGGUGGAGCAUGUGGUUUAAUUCGAAGCAACGCGCAGAACCUUA